GGUUCGCGAACAAGUCUCCGGGUUUACGGAAUAAAGAGCUUCGAAUAAAACCUGUACGGUGCUUGAGGCAAGAGGACGGGAAUAAUUUAUGCGGGUUCUACGUUUGCGAGUUCAUUCGCCAGAAUACCCACCAUAUGACCAAAAUUUUGGAACAACUUGAUAUCCAACGGUUGCGGGACGGUCUUCUAGCAACCGAGCGUGUACGGGCAAUUCAAGAAGAACUGGCGGGAUUCUUACUUGAGCAAGUUAUAGCUCCAGACGGAGAACACUAUGUGCCCGACAUCCAACAUUGAAUAGAAAUUAUUUUGAAAGUUGAUGUAGACAUAUAUAUAUGCAUGAACGUGUGUCACUUCGAUCGAUAUAUGUAAUAUAAUGGUUUCCUAUAUAUAUG